rnacentral:tRNA from 1 species
GGCGGGAUGCUGGAGUGGUUUAACAGGCUCGUCUUGAAAACGAGUGUCGUCGUGAGAUGACCGCAGGUUCGAAUCCUGCUCCCGCCG